rnacentral:lncRNA from 1 species
AACACAGGAUUCUGACAGGAAUUGAAGUGUAAAACAGAGGAUUGCAAAACAUAGGAAAAACGCAGGAAUGGUCGUUUGAUUGGAGCGCAGGAAAAACACACGAAUCGGAUGAGAGAGAUAGACUCAAAGGAAAUUUUUCAAGAGGUUGGAGCUCUUGCUAAAUUUCCUCCAAAAUCCACAUGCAAUGUGCCAUUCCAUAGGAAUUUCAUAGAAUUUGGAAAGCUUCAAUCCUUUGAAUCAAAGGACCAAAUAGGAAAAUUUCCUAUAGGAUUUGAAUCUUAUGAAAUUCCUAUAUAAAUCCUUUGAUUCAAAGGACAUCUUUGAAGACUGAACUAGCAUAUGUGAUCUUAUCGUGUGGGGAAAAAUUCUUGUGGUGUUGGUACUAUAGCAACCAGCAUAACUCCUUUUUUUAAUUAAAAAUGGGUUGGUUUUAAAUACAAGUCAGUUUAACUGUGACCAUUAAAAAAAUAAAAUAUAAACUUUUGGCAUAUGAAAAUGUUAUAUUCAAGUUUACUAUAAUAAGAGAUUUUGAUCGUAAUAUUAUACUUAUGUAAAUUUUCAAAAAAUUAUCCUAAGAACUAUGAAGUUAUAUAAUGUUCAAUUUUCUAUGUUAAGACCUUCAAUGCUGCAUAUCUUUAUUUAGUACUAUAUAAUUGUUUGAAACGUAAGGAAUUUAACAAAACCUUCGUGUAAAAUAGCAUUCUGAAGGAGUCCAACAAAUGCCACUUUUAGUUGCAUCUUCGUGUUUACAUGCAUGCGGAAGUAACACUACCUUUUUUGCGGUAAAUGCAUGCGAGGAGUAGUCACUGAUUCCUUUUGAGUUGCAAUUACGGUGUAGAAGUAUUGCGCCUUUGCUGACGACGAAGAGCACUCUACAUGUACCGACAGGUUUGGUUUAGGUAGAGACAGACGUCACUAAUCGACAAAGCCGGUCUCCGGGUCUCUCCCGAGUCCAAAAUCAACAACCGCCAGAGCUUGCGCAUGCGCGCCCUAAUUAAAUCGUUAACCAGUCACUAAUCAAGCUGCACGAUGGAAUCAUCUAGCCAACACAAGCGAAACGUCCCCGUCGACACGGCCACACCCCACACCACACACCUCUUGCUUUUCCUCCAAUGAUUUCUUUUAGCCAACAAGCUAUAGCUAAGAACACACUACUAUAUAUUACGUCUCCAUCGCUAAUCAACUUUGGUUAAGAGAAAAUCAAGUCUUAACCUUCUGUUCCUAAUCAGGUCUCUCGCAGUCUUCGCUGGCCCGGCCGGCUCCGUUUGUAGCUUUCCGACGGCGUCCUGCAGUGGUUGUGCCGUCCUUUCUAUCUAACCGGGGGGUUUCUUAAGACCCGGGAUAAUAUUCCGAGAGGCUAAAACGGCAACAGCAAGAAGAUUUUGAGGGCCUCUCAUGCCCCCCCCCCCCCCCUGACGCCAACGGAGCACCUACCUGGCUACCUUGGAUGGGCUUCGUACAGCUUUUCUAUUCGGAUGCCGUCAAAUUUUGUUCUGAAAAAUGUAGCGUUUUCCUUUUGUGGAUUUGGGUUUGGACUUUGGAGAAACAUGGAAAGGUCGACGUGACAUGUACUGUGUGCGUUUUUGCAACUGUAAUUAACUAGCAGAUCGCGGUGAAUUGCAUCAGGCGUAGUAGGAGAGGAGGGGGAGCACGGGGAAUCAGCGGCACGGCGUCGCGUGCUGUGAUCUGCGGCCUGACUGACACGGAGACAGACAGGUCAAUGCUUCGGUUUGGGCGAGUGAAAAAGCCAGAAAACCCCCACGGUAAUUAAUAAAAACUGCACAGGAGCGGCCCAACAAAGAGAACCGUCACGUGCCGGCGCGACGUUUUCCGUGCCCAGUUAUCUGCUCGUCGUAGCCUUUGACGGACUCGACACAUCCUUGCACGGCGUAUUUUUGCUGUAGAUCUCUUUGCUGCAGAAGAAGAAGUAGCUAGAUUUGCUGAGCGUGGACAGGGCCCCGCUUGUCAGUGGCGCAACAAGCUAGUAGCUGUUUUCCGCUAGAUUUGUGGAGUUGGCGGUGCUGUAUUCACUGACCCGGGAGAUCACAUUACUCUUGCUUCGGAAUUUAAUUACCGUCCUGGUCUCCUGGAGUACUACUGGUAGUACUAACGUAAAUCCUGCUUAUUACUACUACAUCUGUACUAAAAUAUUACUCCUAUUUACCAUUAGAUAUUUCUUACUUAUUACUCUCUCCGGUUCCAUAAUUCUUGAUGUUUUAGACAAUGACACAGUCUCCAAAAUAUAUCUUUAUCUUUGUUUUCCUAUUAUAAAUAAAUGCAUGUUUGCUUUUUUUAUAGUAUUUUGAAAGACAAAUCUAUAUAUGUUAUUCUAGUUCGUUUAAACUAAAUAUUUUUAAAGUUAUUAAUAAUCAAAGUUAUAAAAUUUUGACCUCGAACUUUUCCAAAACGUCAUGAAUUAUGGAAUCAAAGGAAGUACAACAAUUUAUCAUUGUAUUAAAAAAAUGUCUAAUCGUGUACUAUUUAGUACACCUUCCGUUUCUAAAUAUUUGACACCGUUGAUUUUUUAGCACAUGUUUGACCGUUCGUCUUAUUAAUUUUUUUUUGUGAAAUAUAUAAAACUAUAUGUAUACAUGAAAAUAUAUUUAACUAUGAAUCAAAUGAUAUGAAAAGAGUUAAUAAUUACUUAAUUUUUUUAAUAAGACGAAUGGUUAAACAUGUUUAGAAAAGUCAAUGGUUUCAAACAUGUUUAGUAAUAAUUUUGAACAGAAGAAGUAACAUGGAGUAGCUGCGUAAUGGAGUACCAGUUGGGCACGAAAUUGGACCCUCAAUAUUAGUACUACCAAACUAGAGGCAAAAUCUUAUCUCAAGUUAACCAUCUACUACUAUCUCAUAUUCUCAUUAACCUUAAUAAAGUAAUCGCCUGUACAACGCAACAAAAUGGACCGGCCAGGCAGUGUAUAUAUAAAUAAAAAGAAACAAAAGACGAGCAAAAUGAGGCAUACAGGUGAGCGGUAAAUUAACCAUCUGUUUGUUUUGUUGCUCAUGCCCUGAUGCCAAACAGAAAACAGGAUGUGGGACAAUGUCUGACGCAAUGCGUCACGGUUUCAGCCUUGGUUCAGACAUCAAUUCGUUCUGUCUGGAUGGUUGCUCGCCGCACAUAUUUAUAUAGCAGUAUAUGCGACCGGAAUACCUGAUCCCAAUCAUCAAUUUUGUGCAUACUAUAGCUAAUCUUCCGUGCAAGAAUCGCGUCAACCAAGUUGAUGAAGGUUGGAAGCUCAAAUCAAUGGCCCUAUGAUCGAACUUUGGAGAAUCAAAUCGUUAUGGGAAACCAUAAGGAAAUUCUGAGUGAUGCUCCACCAUGCAAAACGGCAAAAAGAGCUUCACCAAACAAUGGGAGAGGGCGAAGAGAUCAAGAGAAAAACAGGAUUUACCUAAUUAAAAGUGUGACUAUCUGAAAUUACAUCCUACCUAAGAUCGAACUUCGAGAAAAGAAACAAUAUAUGCAGGAAGAUGGGGAAAAAUAUUUUCUACCGGUACUCUCUUCGUCAAAAAAAACUCAACCUAAUCCCUCAUAGGACUAUGAAUCUGGACUACCUUUUUCCAAAUUCGUUGUGCAAAAAUCUGGACAUCCUCUCCUAGGCUGAGUUUUUUUAGACGGAGGAAGUAGGUGCCAUGGUACCUAGGUUGUAUGCAUUUAGUUUAAACGGUUAUAUAAAAAUUUCACAAAAUUUGAUAAGAUAGAGUAUGAUAAUAUAAGAUACUAUACAAACAUGCAAAUCUAAAUUCAUCUACACUUAAUGAAACAAAAAUAACAAAUUUUAUCUGCGCUCCACAGGUACUAUUCACUGUCUGGUUUUAUUAUAUUUAUUUCUCUAGUUGUAGAUCAAAUAAAGUCUUGCAUAUUUGUGUAUAGAUUUAUAUCGUUACAAUUAAUGUUAUUAAACUUUUUAAAAUUUUUAUAACUUUUUAAGUCACAUACAAACAAUGGGUGACAUGGUACUUACGUGUAGAAAAUCCUUAUCCAGAAAGAUGGAUAAAAACUAUAAAGCUAUUGGGCUUCUAAUAAGCUAAUAGUCCAAUACCUUUUGAGUUAAGUAUAUUAAAAAAAUCUCUAAGCACUACUUAAGGCAUAGGGUAAAAUAAACUCCUACUACUAUUUAUCUCGCUCCAAAUCUUCCACAUGGCUUUUACACCUUAGGCGGAUGCAGUGUUUACUCCCUUGAUACCUCCAAUAAAUUUAUUCACAAAAUGAUUUUUACACAUACCUCAUACAUUUUUAAUUAUAAGUAUUUCUGGUUAGAUUCAUAACCAAAACAUACCUAUAUUUUCAAACAAAACGUAGGGUAGGGUCAACCAGUUAGACGACGACACACAAUGGUGUAUUAGCUAGUUGAGUAGCUUUGACAUGCACCAUGUAUAGCCAAGCACAUAUAUAUAAACCGAAAAAUAACUCGUUGAAAAAUAAGCAUACCAACUAAAAGUAAUUUAUUAGUAAAGCUUUUAUGUUUUUAUUUUUAAUGACUUAAAAGAUGAUACUGAAAAAAUAUAUACUAAAAUAAAAAAUUAACUUUCAAAACCUAAAUUUUAGCUUCGUCUAACAAGCCAACAAGCGAACAAUGGACAUGAGACCUUAACUCCAUUGUGUUAGUCGCUUGGCCGCUAACAUCAUGUAUUAAUGUAGUAUUGUGGCGUUAGAAUACUUAGAAUAAAUGUCAUUUUUAUCAAUACGCUUGAUCGUUCUCCAAUGAUACAUAAUUCCUUGUUCAUUUGAAUCGCUCAACAUUUUUAAACGGAAAAAAAAAGACAACGUUGGUUCACCAGGGCGAUAUCUCCGUGCUUUUGUUACUCUUCUUUGUUUCACAACACCCAAUUGUACUCCCUCCGUCCCAUUUUAAACACAACCAUUAGUUUUCGUGUCCAAUUUUAAUCGUGCAUCUUAUUUAUUUUUUUAAAAAAAUAAGUCACGCAUAAAGUAUUAUUUAUGUUUUGUCAACUAAUAACAAUAAAAAUACAAAUAACAAAAAGUUUGAAAUAAGAUGGACAAUCGAAAUUGGAGACGAUGUUCCAUUGAAAACAAAUUACUACCGCCGAAUAUGAUAUAUCUUAGUGCUAAAAAUCUAAACAGAGACAUGUACAAAUUCGUAAUAUUAAAAUAUGAUUCUCCUUAUAUGACGAUUAAUUUGUGAAAAGGGAAUACUAGUUGAAUUUUUUUAUGGUACGGAGAAAGUAAACAACGGUAAUUAGUGGAAGCCACGCUAGCAAAGCCCCGUCGAACCCAAUCGCGUCCCUCGAUUUUUUUUUACUGUUUUGCCUUUAGGCUUUUAACCCCAGCCCAUCCCGUCACCACCGCUCGCUGUUGCGGCGAUGCCACGCCGUAUAAAAGCCACCGAGCAAACUACGUCGCCAACACCAACACCGUUAAAGCCAAAUCAAAUCCAAGACCAGAGCCAGCGGGGAGGAGGGAAGGAAGGAAGGAGUUGCCCAAGCCGCGACGACCGCGAGAGCUCGUCACCUCGAGGGACGCGCCCCCCCCCCCCCCCCCCCCCCCCCCCCCGCGCGCGCGUCAGCGGGGCGGAGAUCUCGCCGGAAUCGAAUCCCGUGCCGCCCGCCGCCGACAUCGCCGGUUUCUGCCGGAAACGGAGGAGAAGCGCCGCCGCGCUGACUGGCCAAUGCUGGUGGCGGCUGGAGACCCUCGCGGUAAGGCGCCCCCCCUUUGUCGUCGCGCGCGGUUGGUGGGAAGCGAGGAACACUGUGCAGCUUGCCGGACGGUUGCUGCUUGCAGAAUCGGCAGAUUUGCUGCUACUGUUUUGGGUACUGAUAUUGCGGUGACGCUCCCUCUGAGGAUGCGCUAGUUUUUAUUUUUUAAAAUUCCAACUAGUAGUUCAUCGAUUGGCGUGUUAAAUCCUUUCCUUACGCAAUGGCGUCUCUCCCUACAUUGUUUUGGAUUUGAUUGGAUGAGUUUUGCUUUGAUUAAAAGCUGCUUGGCUUAUAUGGGAGCUUGGCUUAUGUGAGUGUUUCGAUGCCUUUGCAGAAAUCGCCUUGGUGCAGUGGAGUGGAGGUGUAUGAGGUCGCGCUCGGCCAGUAGGAAUGAGAUUGGUCUGGGUAUCUAGGGUGGACUUGCUGCUGUGAAGCUGUGAUUGUUCUGUUAGGGAUUUGGGGCACAUGGAGUCGCGGAUGGAUCAGUACGAGAUCAUGGAGCAGGUUGGCCGGGGCGCCUUUGGUGCUGCAAUCCUUGUGAAUCAUAAGAUUGAGAGGAAGAAGUGAGUGGCAUAGUUCUAUUUUAUUUUCAUCUUUUUAACAACUUGAUAACACUUAUGUUUCCUUUCACUAAGAUGAAGAGUUUGAUUUUGCUGUUAAUAUUAGUCACCAUAUAUUUAUAUAUGUUGUGUUGCACAGGUAUGUGUUGAAGAAAAUCCGGCUUGCGAGGCAGACAGAGCGUUGCCGCAAGUCUGCUCACCAAGAGGUUAGUGGAAUGUGGAAGUGGAAGCUUGCAAUCCCUAGGCUUUGUUUGUUCGGUUGUUUGCUAGUGGUAUUAUUAGGAAUUUGAUCACGACGAAAACGAAUUGCAGAUGGCUCUGAUUGCUCGGUUGCAACACCCUUACAUUGUUGAAUUCAAAGAGGCUUGGGUUGAGAAGGUUUGUGGAUUAGGAACUUACUAUAUCUAGCUUAUCUGGUUUAUACUUAUUUAGUUGACAUGGGUCAGUAAUGCAGGGUUGCUAUGUCUGCAUUGUCACGGGCUAUUGUGAAGGUGGAGAUAUGUGAGUGAGAUUAUGUUUUAGAUUAGUUUUUCAAAUGUCAUUUUGUAUAUUUUGUUGUAUCUCAGUUUUCUCUUUUAUCACAGGGAUGAAUUGAUGAAGAAAUUAAAUGGUACUUACUUCCCAGAGGAGGUAUGGAAUGACUUCUUUGUUUUUGUCAGAAUGAAGGGAAAAAGGCAUCCAAAUAUGUGCUAAUAAUACUGCAUGUUUCUCAGAAAUUGCUGAAAUGGUUUGCUCAACUGGUAUUAGCCGUGGACUAUUUGCAUUCGAACUAUGUCUUGCAUCGGGACCUGAAGGUAACUUCAGAACAGAUAAUAUCAUUUUCUCUUAUUUAAUUGGUAGAUUUCAAUAUUCUUGUCAUAAUUGCAGUGCUCCAACAUAUUUCUCACCAAAGAUCAAGAUAUACGCCUAGGUUAGUUCCUUAAUAAUAAACUACUACAGGUCUGGAUGGUUCCAUAUUGGUUUAUCAACUUACACAUAUUCCUUGCCUUUGCAUGCAGGAGACUUUGGGCUUGCUAAGACCUUAAAGGAAGAUGAUUUAACUUCUUCGGUAUGUUCCUUUUCCUAUUUCUAUGGUUGGUCUCUGGUAAAAAAAAAAUUGCAUCACCUUAAUUUUCCCCACAAUGAUAAGAGCAUUACAUUUAUUAAGUUUUGUAAGUUUUUAAUCAUUGACACUGUCAGACACACCGAUGCAGUACAUCAUCAAAGACACUAACCAUGCUGUUCAUCAUGUGCAUAUUAUUCAUUGUUUAUAGUUAUCUCUUUUACACACAUUUAUCUGAAUUUGUAAAAUAGGUGAAGUUAUUAUUAUUUUUCUAUGCUCAAACUGACAGCAUAAUGCUUUCUUUAGGUUGUUGGAACACCGAAUUACAUGUGUCCAGAGCUUCUCACAGAUAUCCCUUAUGGAUUCAAGUCAGACAUCUGGUCUCUUGGUAACUGCCUUUUUCUCCUCAGGUCUUCUACAAGUUCAUAUUACUGCAUAUUUAUCUUAAUUUAAGUUACGCUUUCUAUAUAGGGUGCUGUAUGUAUGAGAUGGCAGCUCAUCGGCCUGCCUUCAAGGCUUUUGUAAGCUACUGGGCUCUUAUCAUAUAUUCUUGCUUUAUUAUAUUGUAAUAUACAGGUUUAGCUUUCAUAGGGUCAUAUGAGUUACAGUUUUAUCUUUUCGUGUCACAUGUUUUCAAAAAGGUUCUUGCCUUAUACUCCCUCCGUUUCAAAAUGUUUGACACCGUUGACUUUUUAAUACGUGUUUGACCAUUCGUCUUAUUCAAAAAAUUUAAGUAAUUAUUUAUUCUUUUCAUAUCAUUUGAUUCAUUGUUAAAUAUAAUUUCAUGUACACAUAUAGUUUUACAUAUUUCACAAAUUUUUUUGAAUAAGACGAACGGUCAAACAUGUGCUAAAAAGUCAACGGUGUCAAAUAUUUUGAAACGGAGGGAGUAUAUUUUUAUCUUGACUUUAAUAUUUGAUAAACUGGAAUAUUAUGGUGGAAGUAGUAUAAAUCAUUCCUAACUAACUGUCCGGUUUCACAUCUUUAUUUAAUUUGAAAAUGUUUGUUACAGAAAUUAUAUUACAAACAACAAUGAAAUUUUUUAACUUAAAUUAAAUUUAUUAGUAUGUAAAAGUAUGAUGUUUGAAGAUGGUGCUGAAAGGAACUUUGGGUCAGGUUACAGAAGCAAACAACCUACGGAGUAUAGACCUGCCAUUGCCCACCGGUAAUUGGUCAGGUUGAAUCGACUAAAAAUUCAAUAAAUCUAUUGGGUGUAAUGAUGUAAAAUUGCAACCAUUACUUGUACACGUGCACCUUGAUCUUUCAAUAUGGUCUUCCGUAAAAACAUGCUACUGAGGCAUUUACAUGUAGACUCUAACGCAAUAAUUUGGAAUAUAUUGUGUUGUCCACAAUAAUCAUAGAAAAGAAAAGAACAAAUAAAACUAUAUAAGUCAAUACAUCUAUUUGAAGUUUGAACUUUGCCAAUAGAAAAUAUGGAACAUUGGAAUUCUUGUGUGCUAUUUAACAAUGCUACUAUUUGUAUUUGCCUUUUAAGUUUCAGUGAUCUUAUGAAUCAACAAUACCUGCAGGAUAUGGCUGGAUUAAUAAGUAAGAUAAAUAGGUCCUCCAUUGGCCCCUUGCCUGCCUGUUACUCUUCUUCUAUGUAAGUGCAUUUAUUGCAUCGAAGCCACAUUUUAUUUUUAUUUUUCAUGCCUAAAAGUGAUGUUGUAAGUAAUUUCAAUGACAAUAGAAGCAAGUCAUCGUCUUAUUUUUUACAACCAAGUAAUGUUUUGGCAGGAGAUACAUAAUAGAUGAAAUUGGCUAAAACCUUAACACAUUUCCAUUUUAAUGCAAGUAUACAUGCUUCUAAUUGCUGUUGUGUACAGGAAAACUCUUAUCAAAAGCAUGUUGAGAAAAAGUCCUGAGCAUCGACCUACUGUAAGUUACCACAGUUCUUGAAAUAGCUUUAUUUCUUCAUCUGGAUUCUGAAAACACAUGAAAAAUCUUGUUAACAGGCAUCUGAGAUUCUGAAGAAUCCGUAUCUCCAACCUUAUGUUAAUCAAUGCCGCCCUCUUUCUGAUGCUCCAACUCCCAUACGCAUGCCAGAGAAACCAUUAUCCACUUCACGGAGUAAUCAGAGAUGCACGUCUGAGAGCCAAAGCAGUAGCAUUUCUUGUAGUGAUAUCGACAGUACACAAUCAAGUGACAGAAGCACAUCAGGGGGCGCUCCUAGCACUGACAGCAAGCUUAACGAUAUCAGAAGCAUCCAAGAUGCAGACCGAGCUGAUUCAGACGAAAAAUGUGUAACACCAGAAGAUCUUAGAGGCAACAAGAACAUUUCUGGUGCUGAACUGAAAAGACAAGAUUCCUCAAAAAGUGUACAUCAGCAUCACAGGGGUGAGAGUAAGCAGCCAAAAAUAAUUGAGAAGAUAAUGACAACUCUUAGAGAGGAGAGUAGGCUUAGAGAAAACAAUUCUCCUGUAAGUUCUAGUGGUGUAAAGUUGACUUCUGCAGUUAGCAAUAAGAAUCAAGCAGAGCAAUCAUCAGAGAGCUCAAGGCCUCACAGUGGUGUUUCAUACAGUUCAAAGUUUGGUGACAUUUCAUCUAAUGGAUGGACCAAUACAAGCGAUGAAUGUGUAGAUCCAGUCCAGGUGCCAUUGCAAUUGAAACAACUGGUAUGAGCCUAUAUUUCUUAUCACAAAACGUCCAUUUAUUUUUCUUCUUCUAAUAGGUUUUGCUUGGUUCUGGUUUUGCAGUCACCAACUGUUGAGCAUUGUCCAAAGUUAAAAAAUUCCGGGUCCUCAACUCCUGAACCUGCCAAACAGAUUGCAGAAAAUGGUUCCUCAGCUUCAGGAAUGAGUAAAACCAAGUCGUCACCUAGUUCUAGUAGACGGCCUAGUCCUCAGAGACAAACAGUAGCAGGAAUUCCAAUCGUGCCAUUCACUGUGUCAAAACGAGCUCAUAUCAAGGCAGAGAGUGAGAAAACACCGCCGCGACCUGCCCAUAGCCCAAAUAAUUCUCUACAUAAUCUCCCUCCUUUGAUACCGAUAUCUACAAAUCUGUCAGAAGAGAACAUCAAGCUGGGUAAUUCUCAGGCAAUGCCAGCUCCUCUGGAAUUCGUGACUGCAGCAUCCAAGGAGGACAUCAGCUUUUACUCAAAUUCUGUAGUUGAUUGUGUUGAAAAGGCCGAGCCAUCUGAAGUAUUUGAAUCUAAUUCUCCAGCCUACCUGACUCCACCGUGGACAGGCCCAGUGCUUGAUGCCAAAGGAGAGAAUGGCCUAAUAGCCAUACCAUGUUCAGAAAUACACACUGGCACAUUGCAGAAGAGUAUGGCUAGUAAUGAUGAUUCAAGCCUGAGCUCUCCGUUGGAUACAUUUUAUCUUAGUUUUGAACAAGAGUUUGUCUGCAAGGAUGAUUCGCAAUCCAGCAAGCAUGGGCACAGUGCUGUCACACUACUAAGUGGUGAGGACAAAUUUACUGUCCAAGAACUUCUUGCAUCAACACCAGUUAUUUCUCCUUUUGUUUCAAGCACAAGUAACACUCUGCCAGAGGAUAAAAGUUCUUACCAGUCAUUCAAGAAACAAUCAGAUUCACAUUCGGGCCCUCCAGUUGAUGUUCCUGCACAGACUAUUAGACUCAACAGUUUCCUUGUUAGUGAUGAGUGGCCAACAUCAGAAACAGUUCAAGGGGAAGCUCGGGACACGGCUGCCAGCAAGCUUCUGAAUGUAGUAAGAGAAGAUUUUGAUGUAAGAAGCAGUUCAUGCUCAACAAGCACGCAACCUUCUGGACAAACCCCAGUUAGAUCCAAACUCAACGUGCCUGAAACUAAUCUUGCCAGUAACAUAUCCAUACCAUCCAUAUCAGAAGCAGUGAGAUUAUCUACCGCCAUGGACGUUAAACCGUACACGUCCGAGGCCAGCAAUGGAGUCAAGGAGGAGGCAUCUCCUGCCAAGGAAGCUCUUGAUGUUACGUCAUUUAGGCAGCGAGCUGAGGCUCUAGAAGGUCUCUUGGAGCUUUCUGCGGACUUGCUGGAAAACAACAGGUUGGAGGAACUCGCCAUUGUUCUACAGCCUUUCGGGAAGAACAAGGUCUCCCCGCGAGAGACCGCAAUUUGGUUGGCCAGAAGUUUCAAAGGAAUGAUGAACGAAGAAGGUGGCCGCCUGUCGAUGUGAGUAUCUGUAACCUUAAAAGGCCUUUUUAUUGCUUUCCCCUUUGCUUUUUUGAGUAGCUCAAAGUGGGCUUGAUUUGCUGACAGCGUGUUGUGUUUGUGUUGCCCGGUUUUGUUUUUUGUUUCUUUUGAUUCAAACCAUUCUUUUUGGCGCAUGUUGUAAAUAGCCAAGACUUGUAAACACUAAUAAAAUUUGCCUUCAGUUCUGAAAAUUUUGAUAUGAUCUAGUAGCUAAUAGUAGAAGGAUUAUGCCUGAUCAAAUGCCCACGCUAGUUGCCCAAUAUUUGCUUCGCUCAUUUUCAAGCAAAUUGUAAUAGCACGGGUUGCCUACACAUCUUCUAAUGCUGGCAUGUAUGAUUGUAUCCUGCAUUCCUUCCAACUGAUUGGUCGAGCAGUGACCAAAUAAUUCGAUGAUAUGGCCACAUGGGAAGAAAAUGGGAGAAAUGAUACGGAUCAUUAGAUCCCAUAUUCCCAUUUCCUCUCACAGUCUCGUGGAUACCUUAUGCUUCACAAGCAGUUUGCACUUGCGAAUUCACAAUAGAAAUAGCCAAGUGCCACUUGGGCUGAGGCCACAUAUCGGCUUCUAAAGUUUUGUACUUUAGGUUUCAUAUUCUUUUAAUUCAUAUAUUUAUACUCCUUUAAAAAAACUCUAUGAUAAUAAUGAAGGGUGAAUCUGCAUUCACCUAUCGGUUCAUCUAAUUCACGAUUGAACACACAUUUCCUGGCGCAUCUCUAAUUCGUCUAAUUGGUAGCGUUACUGUGCGUGAUCGCGAAACGAUGAAAUCAACGCCACUAAUAUCCCUCUUUAUCUUCCCAAGUGAGCGCCCACAAGCGAGGCCAUAUAGAGAAAAAGGCUCACAUAUGUUCUGAAUAUGUCAAAUUCCAACCGUAACAUGAAUUCUGAAUAUUUGGAACCGUAUAUCAAAUUCCAACCGUAACAUGAAUUCUGAAUAUUUGGAAUAGCAAUGAUGUAUGAUACUUAUUUUUAAUACCGUUGCAACAAACGGACAUUUGACGCUAGUAAAAAAAAAUAAACUGAAUCCAAUCCCCCUCCCUAGAUCUAAAAAUCGGUGUUUUCCCGUUGAUGCUUGCUUAGCCCCUCCUUCCUCCAUGUCAUCGCCCUCUCCUCCAUCUGCGUUGCUCCAUCCUUCCUUUCUACUAUUGGUGUCUUCCUUCCUUCUCCUUCCCCAACGUGAAUCAAACGUGGUGGCGGGACCGUUACCUCCCCUCUUCUAUCAGCGGUGAAGUGAGAAUAGAGACAAUCUUAACCCUUCUUGUCUUCCUCGACUGUUCGCCACGGCGCCUCUUCUCCUUCGCAAAUGAGCUUCACAAUGGAACACGGAGGAUCGAGCAAGAUCUUGAUAGCGAGCCGAUGAUGCGGUGGAUGGAGCAAUGACCAUGACCCCAAAUGUUGCGAUGACCUUGUCGGAUCUACGCAUCUAGCUGUGAGGACUCGCUAUUGCUUAGCUUGGUGCUUGACCUCCACCAUUCCUCCCCCUCUCUCUCUUCUACUCAUGAAACGUGGCUAGAGAGUCGUGCCUUGGUGCACGAGUGGCCUUGUCCAGUACAACGUCUUACAAUAUACUCCCUCCGUUUCAGGUUAUAAGACGUUUGGUCAAAGUCAAACAGUUUCAAAUUUGACUAAGUUUAUAGUAAUAUUUAUAAUACUAAAUUAGUUUCAUCAAAUCAAUAAUUGAAUACAUUUUCAUAAUAAAUUUGUCUUGAGUUGAAAAUGUUACUGUUUUUUUUCUACAAACUUGAUCAAACUUAAAACAGUUUGACUUUGACUAAAGUCAAAACGUCUUAUAACCUGAAACGAAGAGAGUAAUAACUUUUAACAAUGAAUCUACUAUCUAGAUUUAUAGCUAGAAUACUUAUAUUUUGAGAUGGAGUAUUCACUUUUUCUCACACCACCGUAGAGUGUUGUAAAUGGCUGGACGAGUAACUUUUCAAAUUCACCCAUAUAAAGGUUGUGUUUAGUUCACGCCAAAAUUAGAAGUUUGGUUGAAAUUGGAAGAUGCGAUGGAAAAGUUGGAAGUUUAUGUAUGUAGGAGUAGAAAAGUUUUGAUGUGAUGAAAAAGUUAGAAGUUUGAAGAAAUAUUUUGGAGCUAAACACGGCGUAAGUUGUUUUUUUAAGGGAGGAAGUACGUGACAAUUUCAGGAUUCACUGAAUAAACUUUUCUGGUACUCGGGUACUCCUCAAUUACUCUCGCUACGUUUGCUCAAAUUAUUGCUCGAGACUUGAGCAAGCCCCUCCUCAAUCUACUUGUCCUCAUGCAGUCACGCUCCCUGUUGCUAUAGUCAACUGGAAGCAGGCUUUCUUCUUCACGUACUACGCCUGUGCCCCUCGUCACACCUGCCCGCCAUACGAUUUUACCAGUGGUAAAAACCUGUGUCUCCUCUCCCCCCGACGCGUCAAAUCACACCAUCGAUCCCUGGUUGCAGUACAUCCGUGCUGCUGCACGGCCGCCAUGAUUCAUCAUCAUUCGUAGGCUCAUAGCGUCGCUAGCGCGCGGCUACUGUUUCACCACACUCGUGUUUUUUUACUGUUUCACUUAGCUCACGCUCGAGUCACAGUGAGGCCAGCUUGGGUGACGAUAUAUAGUACCACCUCUCGCGCUCUCUUCACGUCAAGAAGAAUUCCCUCAGCUCAGUUGUAGGCGGAGGCGUCAACAAUGGCGCCAUUGAUGUCAGGGAGUGGUGGUGGUGGUUCUGCUCGGCGCCGCCCGCUGCGGCAGCCGCCGGUGGUGGAUGACGACGACGUCGGCUGCAGCUGCCCCAAGCAGAGGCUGCUCCGCUCGCUCCUCUCCUCGCUGGUGUCCCGCGCGCGCGGCGCACUAGGCGGCAGGGCGGUGUCGAGGCCCAAGUCGUCCGCGCCGCCGUCUUCGUCGGCCUCCACCACCACCACCGCCGCCGCCGCCUUCACCUCCACCUCCACCACCGGCGCCAGCGCCACUACCGUCGACUCCUCCAAGGAGUCGUGGGGCCCCGCGACGUACGCCGCCACCAACACGCACACGCUGUACGAGGUCGAGGACGAGGUGAGGCGGCAGAGGAGGAAGGACAUGAGGAGGAGGAGGAGGAGGAGGGCGGCGGCGUGGGACGAGGAGGAGGAGGAGGAAGGAGCAGCGGCGGUGGCGGUGGCGGUGGAGGUGGAGUCGGCGGCGCCGUACGAGGAUUUCCGGGAGUCGAUGGUGGCGAUGGUGGUGGAGAAGGAGAUGUACGCGUGGGAGGAGCUGAACGCGCUGCUCCACCAGUUCCUGACCCUCAACUCGCCGCGCCACCACGCGCUCAUCCUCCACGCCUUCGCUGACCUCUGGGCCCCGCGCUCCGGCCUCUUCUGCCCUCCCUCCCCGUGCCAAGCUCUCUGAUGGUCUGGUCCCACCCACCAGCCGCAAGCGAUUGAGAUCCUUUACAGGCACGGUUUUUGUCACGGGCAUGUAUGGGACUGGAGAUCAUCGGUCCACAUGUUAAUGACCAAUGUGAUAUUUCAUUUGUUCCAAAAUAUUAAAAUAUUAGCUAGAAUAUAAUGUAAUACUUUCUAUUACUAAAAAGGUUUUUCCUAAAUUCAUUACAAUAGAAAGUAUCUAAUCGUAUACUAGAUAGUAACAUUUAGAACGAAAAUAGUAUGAUCUAGCCGUAGCACAAAUACGUAUUGUACUCUAACUAGCUACUCUAUAUGGUGUGCAUGUGCAUGGGAAGCACGACGUCCGUUGCCCUGCAUGCAUGGUUAUGUGAUAUACUAUUACAGGAUUAUCAGCCCCAUCGUUCUAUGUAUGUUUAUAUUUAUAGACAAAAUUUUAAUUUUAAAACUUAGCCUAUGAAUUGAUCUUGUGAUUUUUUUCAUCCACUUAUUUUACAAUACUUGUUUUUUCAAUUACUAUGAAGACGUAAAAGACCACGUACAUAAAAGUUUAUAAGUUAUUUUUUUAAGUUGAUAAUAAGUUGUUUGAAUAGUAUAUGCAGAAGCGAAAAGAUGAAGCCGUGUACAUAUGUGAUGUCAAAGUGACGUACAUGAUUGGGGUUAUAGAGUGUAAUCAUUCUAGUACGUGUGAGUGGGAUGUCGAGAAGUGGUUAUUUUUUUUAGUUUCGUCACAUGAGAUGGCGGUUUCAUCUAUGUGGAAAUAUGGAAUUCAUGUUUGGCGUGCGGCAACACUCGGUGCCGACAGAGUCUGGAUCUAAGAUGCGUACGGAUGUGUGUGCCCAGCGACUACAAAUUAGGUGUCCAACUUUUCUUCAAAAAUGGGACGAUGUUUCACCACUACUAGAAAAAUGUUUCACUAAAAUAAAAAAAAUAUUUUAAACUAUUAAAAAAUGUGAAACAUAAUUGAUCACAAUUGAAACAUUUUAAUCUCAUAGAUGAAAUAUCAAAGUUUCAAUCGGUGAAACAUCAUGGAUGUGCAAGAAAUUAAAUCGAAGGCAAAAAAUAUGAAACACACCAUAUAAGUAUCCAAUGCAAUAUUUUUAUCCAACCUUAAAGAAACAUCCGGCUACAUUGGCUAAAACAUUGAAAACUCACAAAAGAAUAUGUAUCAAUCCAGAUCUAGUUUAUUCCUCGUCUCCGGUGAUUGCUGGCUCCUCUAGUCUUCGCUACAAAUCCACGUCGGGACGACGUAAGACCCUUCUACUCCACCAAGGUAGGUAGUACUGCUCCCCAAGCCUUCAUCACCCCGUCAUCGCCGGUUAACAGGGGCCACACCACCUCCAAAUCUACCUGGGGCCCUUAAUCUUCGUCCAACUUUUGUGUGUUCAAUGUCCACGUGACCCCACGAGAAGCCCCCCCCCCCCCCCCCCAAAAAAAAAAAAAAGUGGACGCGGUGCUCAUGGCAGCCGUGGGAUGAUGAUGUGAAGGACACGAGAAGCAUCUCUCGCCCACCGCCAAGCACCUGUGUGAGAGAAGGAAGAGCGAGAGGGGCCACGGAGUGGCUGGGAAGGAGCUUGAUAUUCUCUUAUCUGGUUGAGAGACAGCAGAGAGCAAAAAACUUUCAAAUCUAAUUAUAGCAUAAUUGUAAUAUAGUUCCGGUAUAACUAUACUGUAACUAUAAUAUAACUUUUAUAUAAGUAUUAAAAUAAUAAAUAUAACUUCAUAUCUAACUUAUAUAGAGAUUACAACGUAGUUACACCACAGUUACACUGCAGUUACAGUGUAACUAUAGUGUAAUUACAUGGUAGUUACACUACAACUAUAUUAUAGUUACAUUUGACUGUUUUUUGCCCCAAAAACUGUCGACUGUUUUUUAGCAACUCUGUAUUUCUUUUCCAUCGAUUAACCCACGCAAAGCAUUCUCCGAUAAGUUUCUACUUUAAGUAGUAUCGACAGCUUUUGAAUUUUUAUUUUUUUCCAUUUCUGCAUAUUCUUAAAAUUCCAUUGCAAAUUGCAAUGAAGACCUUUUAAUAGAAAAUUUCAACUCGAAAUUCACUUUUUACUAAAAUUUGUAAUUUUAUACUCAUAAUUUAAAUCUUUCAACUUAAAUUCCCAAAACUUUCAACUAAAAUUUGAAAAAUUUCAACUUAACUAUGUACUUAACAUUUUAUUGAAGACAUCAUUCAAGUGCUAAGCACUCCCCCUACGUGCGACUUGCGAACUACUCAAUUCGUUCAAAAAUAUAAAAAUUGAUACGACAAGAUGAGUAAUUAUAAGCCACUCAUUGCAAUACAUGGGAAUCUAUAAUUUUUAGCUAAUGAGAUGCUUGGAAAAAAAACCGAAGCAAUUGAAAAUUUUAAAAGUUGACCACUUAAGUGACAAAAAGAAUUUUUUUUCUCUACCUUAAUUUUUGCUAAGAGAAACCUAAAAAUGCUUUGUAUCUUUGCUAUUUAAAAGGUGUUGUCCUCCUUUCAUCUUGUCCUUCUAGAACACGCCAUGCGCGUUCUUACUCUACAUAUAUAACCGUCAGAUCCACUAUGUUAUUCUCAAUCACUCUUCUAGUUUAUUGUUAAUUAUAGGACAAAGUACGAAUUACCUCCCCCCUCCCCGGAAUUAUUGUGGUCGGUUGAAUUCCCCCUGAACUCGAAAACCAGACAUAACUCACCCUGAACUUUUAAUACUGGACAAAUUAUCCCCCGCAACCCAAUCCAGAGCGAUUUUAUCCUACGUGGUGUACACGUGUCAACCCAGUCAGUAUUUUCUUUUUUUAAAACAUGGUGGUGCCCACCUGUCAUAUACUCUCUCUCUUCUCUUUCCCCCCCUCUCUCGGCGAGGACAUAGCGCGGCGGCGGCGCGUGAUGCGGAGGGCGCGGCGACACUGGACACGGAGGCGGUGGCGGUGCAGGAUGCGGUGGCGAAGGAUGCGGCGGCGGAGGAUGUGGCGGCGGCGGCGGCUGCGGCGUGGGAUCUCCUCCUACCGCCGGCCCCCGCACCGUCCCUGAUCUCGGCACACUCCCUCUCUCGUCUCCAUCGUCGAGCAGCGGGUAGCGACGCCGGCUCUGUAUCCCAUGCCUCCGCCGCCUUCGCAUCCCACACUGCCGCCGCCACCGCCUCCGCAUCCCACGACACAACCGCCCCCACCCCCGCAUCCCGCGCCGCCGCGGCCUCCGUGUCUAGCGCUGCCGCGGCCUCCACGUCCUGCGCCGCCGCCGCCGCGGCCUCCGUGUCCAGCGCUCCCACGAUGAUGACGACGCUGUAGCCACUGCGCUCUGUGUCCUCGCCGAGAGAGGGAGAGAGAGUGAGAGAGGGGAAGAGAAGGUAGAGAGUAUAUGAUAGGUGGGUCCAUCAUGUUUUAAAAAAGAAAAUACUGACUGGGUUGCUACACGUACGCCACGUAGGAUAAAACCGCUCAGAAGUGGGUCGAGGGGGGUAAUUCGUCUGGUAUUAAAAGUUCAGAGUGAGUCAUGUCUGAUUUUCGGGUUCAGGGGGAAUUCGGCCGACCACGAUAUUUUUUUUUGGGGGGAGGGGGUAAUUCGUAUUUUUCCUUGAUUAUAUGAGUCUAAUCCGUUGUAAGGUGUGGAGGAUGUUAGAAGGGAAUAAUUUCCGUAUACAUUCGCCGUACUCCCGAUCGACCGUGCGCAGAAUUCAUGUGAAAGCGUGUUCCAUGGGGAGAAACUUGCCAGGUGCAGACAUAUUUGUGCGUGUUGUAAAGCACCACCUUGACGUACGGCUCGAUCCUACCUCGAUAGACGUUGCUUGUUUGACUGCUUGGGCAGUUGGGCUUUCCUUCUUGGUAGGCCCAUGUGUACUCUCCGUUGCAGUUGGGAAUAAGUUCACUUUAGAUCCCUCUAUUUAUCGCUCAGUCUGAUUUUCGUCUCUAAACCGCAAAACCGGGUACGACCCAUCCCCCAACUUACGAAAAUCGGGCAAAGGAGGUCCCUCGGUGGUUUUGAUAGCGGUUUUGGCUGACGUGGCGCCUACGUGGCUAAUUUGACUCGGUCUUCAUCUGACGUGGCACUGACGUGGCGCUUACGUGGCAAUUUGAUCUGAAAAAAAUAAUAAAACCAGUGGGACCCACAUGUCAGUUUCACACACAAAUAGAGGAAAAAAUGGUGGGACCCACGUAGGCCCCAUAUGUCAUCCUCACUCCUCUCUCUAUCCUCUCUCUCCCCUCUUCUCUCUAUCCCUUCUCUCUCUCCGGCCGAUGAAGCAGGGCGAGCGGCGGGCGACGGGCGGGGCGGGACAUGGCCGACGGCGGGUCAGGUCGCGGUGCGCCAGCCAUUCUCCCGCAGCGCCUCCUUCUUCGCGGGGAGGGCGGCGAAUCUCCCCCAUCGUCCUUCGGAUUGCCGGCGGCGGCGGUGGCUAGCCCCACCCCCGUGGUGAGGUCCGUCCCGCCGGAUAGCUUGCGCUCGGUGCUCCAGGCCUUGGUGUCCGACGAGUAGGACCGGCAUGCCGUGAAGCUACGGCGCUUGUAGAGGACCAACAGGCGGAAGGCGGCGGGACCCGGUGGGAGCGGAUCGGCGGAGUCCUGGAGAUCGUCGGCGGUGAGCAGCGCGCACGCGUAGAGCCCGGGCCUGUCCUUCCCGGAGAGGACGGGGAGGAGGAUGGCCAUUUCACCGGUCAAGGGGUUGCACACGACGAGCUUAAUGUUAGUUAAAUCUUGCGUGCAUGUAGCUACUAACUGUUAGCUAUCGGUUUCAAUUCUGUUAUUGCAUUGUGCAUGAGCUUCCGGUCUAUGGAUGCUAUGCAUGUAGUGGUAGUCAUGCUGACCUUGGCGAUCGGAGGCGUGAGCACGUUGUUAGGAUCGUGGGGAUGGACGCGAUUGUACCGCGACGUGGGAACGCAUCCAAUGCGCUCACCUGCAUAAUGAAAGGGAGAAAGAAAACCAGAAAAGGUGCAGCUUCAUCGCACCACAAAACUCAGCGUGUUUCCUCGUGUUCGCAUGUGUUUCCACAGCUUGUUCGUCGAUCACUUAGGGAAACCUGUCACUUAAGGGCGGCGGAGCUCGACGACGAGCUGGCCUUUCCGUGAUGCGACGAGGCGGGAGUUCUUGAAGAGGCCGGGGUUGUCAAACACCCUGUCAAGCUCGCCGCCGCCGAACCUGGAGGAGGUCGAGGGCAACGGGACGAACCGAGGCGGUGCGACCGAGGAAGACGAGUCGUCCUCGUGGGUCUGGUGGAAGAAGCCGACGGUGAGGUCGCGGAUGAGGUGGCUGGAGGGCGGCAUGGAGCGGCAGAUGUACACCACGUUGCCGGUGAGGUGGUGACGAGGCGGCGCCACCGCCUGCAAGUGGCGCGGUGCACCGGACGAGGUCGUGAAGAUCCAGCGAGCUAGCCGCAAACACGAGGAGGAGGACCUGACCUAGCCCGCCGUCAGCCGCUGCCCCGCCCCGCUCUGCCGACCAGCCGCUCCGCCCCGCCUGUCGCCCGCUUCUGCCGUCGCCGCUCGCCCUAUUCCAUCGGCCGGAGAGAGAAGGGAUAGAGAGAAGAGGGGAGAUAGGAUAGAGAGAAGAGGGAGAAGUGAGGAUGACAUGUGGGGCCCACGUGGGUCCCACCAUUUUUCCUCUAUUUGGGUGUGAAACUGAUAUGUGGGUUCCACUGGUUUUAUUUUUUUUCGAUCAACUUGCCACGUAAGCGCCACGUCAGAUGAAGACCGAGUCAAAUUAGCCACGUAGGCGCCACGUCAGCUAAAACCGCUAUCAAAACCACCGAGAGACCUCGUUUGCCCGGUUUUCGUAAGUUGGGGGAUGGUUCGUACCUGGUUUUGUGGUUCAGGGACGAAAAUCAGACUGGGCGACAAAUAGAGGGACCUAAAGUGAACUUAUUCCUUGCAGUUGGGCUUUACCAAUUUCAGGCCCAUGAUGGUUUCAAUUUUUAAAAUUCUUAGUACUGUCAUUAUUAUAUUUCGAAUGAAAAUAGCUUGAUGCGGUGCGGCGCCUGCCUGUUUGUUAUCAAGUGACAUAUCUUCCAAGUUGCAACUAAUAUUCCCAACAAAACAUAGUGGGAUAUGUGUAUAAUUCAAGAGGUACGAGUAAGUUUCACGUCAAUCCAUCUAUCUAUAUAUGUAAAGCUGAGAGGCCUGGUCGUGUUGAGCGUUAGUUGCGUAGUUGACCCAUGAUGAGUUGGAAAGCUGGGCACACGCCGGCCAAGAGCAAACUGUCCAGGGCGCAAAGACAAUUGCUGGCUGAUGUGCGGUGCUCUAUCAUUCUACUGUCAUUCCAUAUUCCCAUUCAACUUCGUACAUCCAGCUGCCACGACAGGGCAAAAUGGCCAAUGGCCCAGCAUCACAAAUUCUGCAAAGCUCAAGAUGAUCAAACAUCUUCUUCCUCAAUCAGUCAAGCCGUACUAACAACGAAGUUGUGCGUGCGUAGUACUGAAGUUGAGAAGUACCAAGGACGUGCCGGUAGCAUCCGUACAUACGUGCGGAUGGGAACAAACGAAUGCAACGCAAAUGCUCAUGCGUCGCGCCGGUGCGCCAGUAAAGCUGCACUGCACUGCACUGCAGCACCGAUCGAGAACGCAAGCAAGCAAGCUAGCUAGCUCACACACACACAGAAAAAGGCUCGCAGAGGCAGAGAGCCUGGACCACACCGCGCGACGCGCCGCGCGGCUGGCUCUUCUACCCUGCCCCUGCUCGCUGCCGCACGCAGGCCGCAGCGCCUCACGUUUUAUUGCCGUACCCUGUGCCUCCCGCCGUCCGCAGCACAUGAAACUUUUACAAGAGAAAAAAGUAGCAGCAACCCGGCCGGCCAUGGCAUUCGCAUGCUUAUACAACUUUUGCAAGGGCUCGAGUUAUUACCGAAGUUAUUUUGUUGUUGUCAUAACUAAUAACUGCGUGAAUGAGGUGGUGGUAGGAGCAGUACUAGUUCAGCCCACUGGAGUUUACACUGUUGAGUGUAUGUAUAGUAGUACGAUGCACAAACCUGCAAUAUAUAGCCUCGUGAUGGCACUGCCCACAGUGGAUGACGCAUCGAGCCCACUGGUGGCGAUGGCCGAUGGCGCAGGUGGGGCUAGAGAGAGUAGAAGCCAAAGGCCGUGGACCAUGGGGGCCAAAAGAUUCUUUUAUGGAAGUGGUGCCGUCCGUUCUAAAAUGAACAAGAAGCUCUCAAAGACUCAAAACUAUUUAAGGGAGACGGACAAGGGCAGCACAGCUGCCACACGGCGGACCGCAGCUCUGGUUGGAGCAGACAAGCACAAGCAGCUGCCCCCAUCCACGUGAGGCUGGCUGGCCGGAGGGGAGGCCCGGUGCACCGGCCAGCCGUUACCCACUAUAGCAGUGAUGGUGGUAGUUUCUUUCCACCUGAAAACGCUUGGGCAGGAGAAACGGGGUUUGGCGGUUUGCAAAGUGUACAAAUAUAGUACCCCUACUCACUUUGUGUUUUGUGUUUUGUGACAUGGCGCUGUUGCAGGAAGCCUUAAAUUUUACAAAGAUCUAAAAACUAACUGUUAGACGAAAAUUAAAAAUUUCCACGCUAUUUAACCUUGAAAUCUACAGAUUAUUAAUUUCAAACUUGGGACUGAGUUUAGAUAAAAUGAGUUGGAUGAUGUGUUGAUGAUUCAUUGAUAUUAGAAAAUCUAUAAGUGUUUCGAAAUCUGUUUUUCAAAUAUUGUAGAAAAAUUCCCGCUUACCAUUUGAAUAAGCUAUAACCUAGAGAAGUUUUAAACGGGCAACACAAGUUAAAUUUCUCCUAAAAAUAUGUUUAAAACAAAUCUUAAUGUCCACAAUUAUGUAUCGUGUAAAGUCCUCCGCCCUCUUUAGCACAACUUCAGAUCCAAGAUUUCUUGGAGUUAGGUAUUCGUAGCUCCACAAACCCAUGGAUCUGUACAUAUUUGCGAUUACAUUGAUAAUAUUUGGAUAAAUUAUUUUUUCCUAUUUUAGAUGAAAUUUAAAAUUUUAAACCACUGUAAUUUAACAUACAAAUUUUAAAUCCAUCAUGGAUCUAAGAUCUCUGGAGCUAUGAUAAAUAUGACCUAAGAUAAUUUGGCAGAUCUAUUCAUUUGUAUGGGUUUUUGAUAGUAACUUCAAAAGAAAACACCUUUGCUAGCCAGAGUAAUGAUCACCAUUCACUAACUCUAUGGUUUCAAUCCAAUAACCAAAGAGUUAUCUUCAUUUUCUCUAGUGACAAUGUGAGCUUAGCAACAACACUGCACAACCCUGCAAGCAUGCAUGAUUCAUUAGAGCAGGUUCAAUAGGUUUAUGUCAACCGGCGAUAGGAAUAAGCAAUUCAGUUUUUGGCUGAGGUGGAGCAAAGAGAACGGUUGGAGAGAGAAAGGCUGACGCUUAAUUAGUCACAAGCUCCAGCGCAUUGAUUCAUGCAUGCAUGGCUGUCCUGCCAAUAGCAAGAGCUGAUUAGAUUAGAAAAUUAUAAAACAAUCUUUUAGAGAAAUGUGCUAUGUAACUAGUUGUUGUGCAAGCUAUCUCUUUCCAUUAUUUUUUGUUGACAUUGAACUUUUAGAGCUGGUAACCAGCUAUACUAUUAAACUUGCUCUUAGGACACCAUGAUUGUCGACGAAGGUGCGUGACUUUAGAAGGAACCCAUAGAGAGCGCGCGGAAGGGUGGCACUGGGUGGAGGGUGCUGUGGGGGCGUGUGCAAAGCAUCAGAGGUGAUUGAUAAGGGGGAGACUAGUCGCCGAGCACUCAAUACGAUGACAAAAAUCAAACGGUCAAAUUUAUUUAAUAAAACAUCAAGUUAUAUGUCGUGAAUAAAAAUAAGAAUUCAAAUAUUUGAAAAAUAUGUGAAACACACCAAUAUUUUACUCUCACACAUGAAACAUCAAUUCUUAACGAUUAAAACAUAUAUAUUCUGUCUUCAUCAGAAUACAAUGACACAAAAUCUUGUUGUAAAUGUUAAUUAAUACCAACAAUACAACGGUGUAAUCGAAUAAUCAGAUAAAUAAAAGUUAGGUGAAAAAGGCCAUUUGAAACUUGCUAAUAGAGUGUUACUUGCAUGAUUGGAGAAAAAGGGCAGAUUUUGUGAUUAGAGGGCAGUGAAAUCCGGUCAUUAAUUAGUAUUCCCUCUGUAUUUUAAUGUAUGACAUUGUUAACUUAUUGAUCGAUGUUUGACCAUUUAUCCUAUUAAUUUUUUUUUGUGUAAAUAUCAAAAUAUUUAUGUUAUGUUUAAAGAACAUUUGAUGAUAAAUCAAGUCACAAUAAAAUAAAUAAUAAUUACAUAAUUUUUUUGAAUAUUAUGAAUUGUCAAACAUUAGUUAAAAAGUCAACGACGUCAUACAUUAAAUACAGAUGGAAUAUAUGCAACGGACUUUUUCUUUACUUGUAAAGAUACUUCCAUUACGUACCUCCCUGACACAGCUAAGGGCCCCUUUGAAUCAAAGGAUUUAUGUAGGAAUUUCAUAGGAUUCAAAUCCUAUAGGAAAUUUUCCUAUUUGGCCCUUUGAUUCAAAGGAUUGAAGCUUUCCAAAUCCUAUGAAAUUCCUAUGGAAUGACACAUUGCAUGUAGAUUUUGGAGGAAAUUUAGCAAGAGCUCCAACCUCUUGGAAAAUUUCCUUUGAGUCUAUCUCUCUCAUCCGAUUCCUGCGUUUUUCCUGCGCUCCAAUCAAACGACCAUUCCUGUGUUUUUCCUGUGUUUUGCAAUCCUCUGUUUUACACUUCAAUUCCUAUCAG